AAUCAACGCUGGCGGCGUGCCUAACACAUGCAAGUCGAACGAGAAAGUGGAGCAAUCCAUGAGUAAAGUGGCGCACGGGUGAGUAACACGUGACUAACCUACCCUUGAGUGGGGGAUAACCUAGGGAAACCUGGGCUAAUACCGCAUAAUACCUACGGGUCAAAGGAGCAAUUCGCUUUAGGAGGGGGUCGCGGCAGAUUAGUUAGUUGGCGGGGUAAUGGCCCACCAAGACGAUGGAUCNGUAUCCGGCCUGAGAGGGCGCACGGACACACUGGAACUGAAACACGGUCCAGACUCCUACGGGAGGCAGCAGUGGGAAUUUGCGCAAGUGGGGGAAACCCUGACGCAGCAACGCCGCGUGGAGGAUGAAGACCCUUGGGUCGUAAACUCCUUUCGAUCGGGACGAUAAUG
rnacentral:rRNA from 1 species